ACGACCACGUCACGUUGAAACAUCGGUUCCCGUACGAUCACAGAAGGUAAGCAGAGUUGAGCCUGGUCAGUACCUAGAUGGGUGACGGCUUUCGAAUACUA